AAACUACUGAGGCCCCUCCCUGGAGAAUGUUCAUUGUGCCAUGAUUUUUAAGGGAGGUCUUACAGGCACCCUCCUCUCAAGCAUGUUGUCAUCCUUUCUAUUCCUCUGGGUUGAAGAGAUCAGGUGCC
rnacentral:sRNA from 1 species